CCGCGCCGGGACGGGCAGGUGUGCGAUUUGGAACUGGAGGGAACCGCUCUGUCCGAGCCCGGCCGGGUACCCGGAGGGGAAGGACGGACUACGCUUCCCGACGCCCCGUGCGGCGGACGACCCCGGGCGAGUCCUCCCGCCGUGCCGCGGCCUUCGCGACAGCGGCCGCUCCUUCCUGCGGGAACCGUCGUUCUUCCCGGCAGCUGGCCGCGCUUGCGGCGGUCGGUCGGUCGGUCGGUCUCUCUGCCAGGCCCCUCCCUGCGGCCCGAAGCCCUGGCUGGGGCGCCGCCGGUGACCCCAGUCACGGACGGUAGCAGGCCGCUCCCAAAUCUCAAGUCUAUACCCCUUGAGAGGGAAAAAACAAAACUCCUCCCCCUGGCCGCAAUUCCUGGGUAAAUUCGGGCCCUGAUCCUCGGCUCGGACCGAAGGUCUUCACCUUAUCCCCCGGCAGCAGAAUUCUCUUCUUAACGAUCCCAGCUCGUUACCGUAUCACUGCCUGGCUCAGAAACUUCCCGCGGCUUCCCAACGUCCAAAUUCUUAGCAUUCGAUACGAGCAUUGUAUGUGCUACCUAGACACCCAGACUUCACCGGCUUUUUCCAAAAUGUUCAGUACGGACACUGCGACGGGAAACGGCCCUCCCCAGAGAGCAGUCUGGUUCCUCUACAAAUACCGCACCCCUGCCCCUUCUUACACAAUCUGUGGCUGCCACUUGCUGUGGAGCAAGGGACCAGGGCUCCGGACCUGACACCCAGAUUUCCUGUCGUUGACACCUAAGGCGGUCCAGUACCUGACGGAUCCAUUUACCCCUGAGCGGAAAACAAGACCAGGGUUUACGGGGAAAGGAGAUGAGCAGCAGCGCAGCGGGAAGCAGAUGUACCUCGGAAGACCGUCGUGUGACCCAUUAGAGAAAGGGGAGAGCAGACCAUGUCUGCGUCCUGGUGACUUUCCAUCUCUGGCUUCUGAUCCAGACAAACGUGUCUUAACAGUAACUUCCCUUUUAUUUAAAGUUUCCCAAAUGAGUGUUUUUUUCCCAGGUUAUUUGAGUGGAGGAGGCACCAGCUUACCCUCCAGCCUCAUCUCCCUAUACAUUGCCCUCCACACCCACAGCACACCUGCUGUUGCUGGAACUCAGAACUCUCACUGCUGCCUUUCUGCCUUUGUCUUUCCGCCCGUUUCUUCCCCUUGCCUGGAACACCUUCCUCCCAGGUCUACUGGUUGUCAUCUACCAGCCACACCUGUCUCAUUGUUGUCAUGGAAAAAAGCCAGCAAACGUCUACACUACAGAAAGUCGCGAACAGUGAAUUUGGAACCACAUACCUGCCUUUAAAUUGUCAAGUGAGUGGCCUAUUUGAGCCGGUGUUUUCUUAUAAAGGAUUACCUGUCAUUUAGGGGAAAAGCAACCAGGACAGAUCCAAAUCCAUAGGAUCUAUGAAGCAGAGAGUACUUAGUAACAAGUUAUCGAUGGUAUCCAUUUCGGAAAACAAAUAUGUCUUUAGCUUACUUGUACAAAACUAAUUUGUGGUCUCUUGGGUUUGGUUUUGUUUGUUUUUUUUUAAUCAUUUUUUCUUACCAAAUUUACAAGAAAAACAUUGCAUUUUUCUGUUCGAGCAUCCUCAGGCCUGGAGAGAUGUCUAGAUUCUGGCUUCUGAUGAGGGGGCUCCCUUGUACAUGUGGAGCCCAGUCAGUUGUUUAGAGGAACUGACUCAAAGGCUCAGUUCUUGCCUCACGGCCUCCCAGACGCUCAGUAACAUCUCCAAACUAAAGCUUUAGAACGUAACAUAAUUUGGAUGUUAGUUACACUGAUGACUUAAUUCAUUAAUGUCGUCUUCCCCUGAAAUGGUUAAUAGAUUUGGUCUAGAAGCCAAGGAGAUAUGAACUCAAAACGGAAAGAUACUUGUUCUUUGCAAGUUCCUAUGUUUUGCUUUACGAAGAGCUAUUCCUUCAUCUGAUGCGCUUCUGCAUCAUAAAAAUCAACCACAUUAUGUCUCUUAAAAUCCCUGGCUACGUUUCGUGGAGUGGUUUCCAGCUCUGACUCCAGCUCUGACAGUUUAUAAUUCAGACAGCAUCUGAAGAAGUUAAUUUCUGGACCUGUGAUGUCAUGCUAACAAAUGGCCACCAGAUGUCAGUCUUUCCUUGUGUUUUUAGACACAAAUGGCCUUCGGAACCACAUUUACGGUUCUAUUUGUGUGGCAUCCUCAGUGGAAGGCACUUUUCAGGGAGCAUCUGCCCCCUCACAGUCCAUCACGCAUGGUCCUAAGCUCUCUUUGCUCUGGUGUCACUGUCCUGGGUUACGGCAGUGACUUGUCCCCACGGGCCACUACUCGGCCCUGGGCCCUCGCUUAGAGCCCAGCUCCCACCCUCGAAGUGAUGCAGAGUUGGGGGGCAACGCGGCCGCUUCCUGGAAGAUGGAGCUCGCUCAGAAAGCCGAAGAAUCCAUUUUUCAAGACAAGCAUCAUUGGGAGGAGAACGCAGAACCCAUGUUCUGUCCUUUGCCCGAGGUCACCUGCAGCCUGCGGGAUGGCAGGUGCCUCUGGCAGCACCGAGGUCCCCGUCCUGAAAGGAGGGGACCCCCCCCCCAACAGCCUGCUUGUCCACGUCGCACUCUGACCCCGAGCUGAGCAGCCUGGGAACCCAAGUCACCGCAGAACCAACCACGAGGGACCGUAACUUCUCCUCCGCCUGGAGGGCCCAGGCCCUGGCUGCAGCAGAGAAAAAGCCGGCCAGGCCUCCCCUCCCCUCCCCUAACCCUAACCCUAACCCUGACCCCUCCCCCUUUCCCACCCCGCCCGGCCUCCCCCUCCCCCAGCCUCCCUGGGGCAUCCCGGCACAGGCUGGAGCUCAGCCGGUGGGAGAAGUCAAGCCCAAGACAGGAGGUGAGCGGCCAGCAAGCUGUGCUGGGCUUCGUGUGGACGGAGACGCCUGCGAGGCCACGGGCCCAACACGGGGUCCAGGGUACCAGGGGCCCCAGACAGCCCGCGCCGUGGGGACUGGUGACAGAGAGCUCAGUCAGUGGAAUGACUUCGCGGUGGCCCUGCCCAGGGUUGUUCUUGCUCACCUGCUGCACUUGUGCGGACCCUGCGGUCACUGCCCUCCCUCCUCUGCCCCCUGGGCCGUGCCUCGAAGGGGGCUCCAGGCACCUGGCUGCGCGCCGGCCUGCACAGGACGCCCCUCUGGGCCGCCACUGAGGGGCGGUGCCGGGCGUCCCGGUGGCGGCUCCUCCCCUGGGAGUCUCCUUGGUGCUGCCGCGUAGGCCUUGGUGCCUCGUCCCCUUGUCUUAUUUGGCUGUCCUCCCCGCUCGGCCCCCUCGCCUCCCCACACGGCCAAUCACCUGCGGCCCUGCUGGUGCCACGUCCCCACCAUCGAGCUCCCCUCCACGGCCGCCACUACCAUCCGGGGACCGGCAGCCCCCAGACUGCUCCCCAGCCCCCGGGAGCCCCCCCCCCAGCCAGCUCCCGCCCUUCGCCACCAGCCGAGAUCGGUGUCCAGCUGUCCAUGAGGACGACACCGCCGACAGGAGAGAGGCGGACAGGCUGUGGAUCGAGGCACCGUCUCCCUCUCCGCCAGAAACAGGAUUUGGACUCCUCUCCACCGUCGCCAAGGCUCCCCGGGCUCCGGUCCGGGCCACGCUUCGUGCCAAGUGACCCCACGGUCCUCCGGAUCUGGCCGGCCCUCUGCCUCACCCGGUCUCAACCCAGAUGUUACCUGCUCAGACCUUCCAGGCCCCUGUGCCCACCCCGCCCCACGGCUCCUGCGUUUUCCUUCCCCACAGUAGCCCCGUUCUCCCAGGAGGAAGGUGAAUGUGAGAUGUGAAGGGGCCUCGCUGUAUCCACGCCGGGCCUCGUCCGCUGUCCUCCCUGGACCGGGGGCGGAGGGGCAGCCGCCUCCCCAGCCCCUCGCCGCCUCCCCAGCCCCUCGCCGCCUCCCCAGCUCUUCUCCAUCUUACGCGCUUCCUGCAAAUGUACCUUAACAGCGGCCUCUUCCCUGCUCACCUCCAGGUGCCCUGAGACCAGACCCAGAGGCCACGCUUCGUCCACCUUCUUUCUUCCCUUCCCCCACACUUGUUCAUCACGUGGCAAACGUUGCCGGAUGACUGUGUGCGCCAGGCACGCGGCGCCUCGGGGAGGGGAGGCCGGACACGGCCCUGCCCUCGGGCCGCUCGCUCCCCGGCUUCCUGCGCAGCCCCUUUGUCUGCCUGGACCCUCCUCAGCGACCCGCUCCUUCCAGGCGCCCGCGCCGCAGGCCCAGCCAGCUUCCAGCACCUUCCAGCGCCAAGACCUGCUACGCGAUUUGCGUGGCCCAGUGCAAGAUGAAAACGCCAGGCCCUGUGUUCACCCGUACUGAGGCUUCGAAGGCACCGACAGCAGAGCGCCUUUGGUGAUUCCGGUUACACAGCAGCUCUCCUGCCCGCCCAUGCUGGAUGUCUGUCCUCUCUCCUGGGGCCGUGGACAUAAGACCCGAGGGAGCCCAAGAGGAGCCUGAGAAUGGAAUGUUCCUAAGAGGGAACGUUGGGGGAAAGGCGGCGUUGGGAGCAGCUGACCUCACGGGAUUUUUAGGCAGAUGGAGUGACCACGUGUGACCUGGGGGACAAUGGACUCGAUAUCAAGGGGGUCAGACCUAGAGGGUGGGGGAUUCUGGGCAAACACUUAGCAGGACUCUUGAGGACAAUGCAGAGAUGAGCACGGAAGCCUAGAAGGCGGGGCCUGGCCGAGCAGAGGGUCGGGGCCUGGCCAACACUGGGUCAGGAGAGACUGUCACGAUGGGAGGCAGCUACUGUCACGGGGCUCUGGUCCCCACCACACCACACCUGCCACCAGGCCUCCUCCGGGACGCCUCCUUGAGGAGGGCUCUCACUCCCAGAGAAAACGGACCUGUGCCAGAGUGAGAGCCGAGGCCUGGUGAAGGGGGCUCCGCUCCGAGGAGGUCCCCCAGGGCGUUUCCACAUCAGACGCCUGGUAAAGAAUCUUCCAGCCUUACCACCUCGGGGCUGAGAGGGUGGGUCCCUGCAUCGGGGUGACAGGAGCAAGGCAGGCGUCACAGGGAUCCCUGCUCACCGAUGCCCUCGCUAAGGCUGUCCGCUGCCUUAGUACCUGCCUGCUGGUUUAGAACUGGUCCCCUGGUCCUUCUAGGCAAGUCUGAAGGACGGGGUCUCUAAGGGGCGCUGUCCAGGGAAGGCCGGGCUCCUUCGAGGACGGACUCCCUCAUGGGAGUCCCAGCUGCUGAGUCGCCCAGAACCCAGGGCAGCUGUCGCCUGCCAGCUGCACUGCCCACCCUCUCCCCCUGCCGCGGCCCUGGAGGUCCCUCCCCGGGGGUCUGGUGCCACCUCCCUACGUCCAGCACAGAGGCUAAGCCCUGUGCUGACCUCUGGCCGUGGGCCUCACAGGGUGCCAGGCGUUCUGUUGUAGGGUUCCUCGGAGACCGCUCUGAUUUUCCAUCCCUCUCCGCGUGGGGGGCCCCGUGCCGUCCCCUCACCCGCUUGCACCGUGCGCCCUCCCAGCCCCGUGGGUUCAGGUCCCACGGCCUCCGCCCAUGCGCCCACAUCCUCAUGGCCCCGAGCACCUGCUCUGGAACUGGUCCGUUCCUGCACUGCCUGACGUUUCCUGGGCUCCCCUCCCUUAGCACCCCUGCCUUGCUUACCAUCAUCCACGGGACCGCCGGAGGUCUGGUGAGCCCUAUUCAAGGUCUGGCACGACCUAGCCCCCUGGUGUCUUCAGUCCCACGCGGGCAAGUAUCGUCACAGAUUUGUGUGCUUGGUGUAGGGGGUUUCCACUGGGCUCUGCUAGGGGGCCUGAGGCUGGGGGCUACUCCGAGCAGGUCUCCUGGGUCUCCGGCCGGGGCGAUCCUAUGCCCUGUGCGCCGUCCCCCACGUCUCACGCCAGCCUCCAGGAACGCCUGGCCCAGUCCCGUGGUCGUCGUAGCUGUCUCCGGACUUGCCCCACGACCUGGGGCGGGGGUGGGGGGGGGUGGGGGUGGGGGAGGCACAGAAGCACCCUGGUGGGGAACUGCUACUCUAUAUCUAAGCAGUGGCUUUUGAGAUGUUCUCGGUGGCUGGAAGAGGGCCACUGGAGUCAAGGGAAAGGCUUUUUUUUUUUUUUUUUUCUGGAGAAGGAGUGAAGAAGCAGUCAUUCACCAAAGAGUUGUUGAAAGGAUCAAUGAGCACAUGAAUAUGUGGAUAUUCAUCUGAAUAAAAGUAUAACCUUGUGAGAUUAAACACCGGGAGCUCCGGCAAUCACACUCCUUGGUAUUUAAACAAA